CUCUGUAGGCCCUUCUGCAAUAUAAGAUUAUAACAGGAAGUCUGUGGCCCUCACUCAAUCCUGCUGGUAUCCUGACCUUAGUCUUUCAUCUUCCAAAACUGCCCAGAGCUGAAAGCAGUGAGGCAGAUAGCCAAUCACAUGCUACUUUCAGAGGGCCUGGUGUUACAGUAUAACCAGAUUGUCAAGGUUCACCUAGAGGAUUACCUGCUAAAUCACAAGUUUAAAGAAAACAAUUUGGAGUUACCCAAGAGGAAACAACACACUUACUUAUCUCCAGACUCUCCACACAGACUGUAUUAAAUUUUCCAUAACCAAAUUUACUGCAGGACUGAGAACAAGCAUGUGAUAUUUCUGCUAAAAGCUCUUGAUAUUUGAAACUGCCUUUUAUAAGGAAGCUUAAGAUGUAAGGUGUAAUUCCCUAUCUCUUUGGCAAAACUCAUUUUUCCCACUGGGGAAAAUUGCUUGGACAUCUAAUUGUUCCAGAGCACAAGAUAAAAAUAAGUUCAAAACACAGGGCCUAAAUUAAACAGGAUGCUACUUCUCAC